CACAAGUUUAAAAAGAAAGAGGAUAUUUGCAUAGUGUCAAAGUAUUUCCCCUCAAAUAUUUAUUCAUUAUAAGCGGAAAAGUAGUAAUUUUACAGUGGAGAAACCUGGAAAACACCAUCUUGGCCGAAACAUUGUGGGGUGUUUGAAAAUGAGUGAGAGUGUUUUUGUCUUAGUUUGUGGUGGGGUGGUGAAUAUUGCCAUAUUUAGUUUAAAAAUGCCAAGGAUGCAAUAUAUUCUACAGCAAGUGGAACAGCAAUGCAUGAUAAAUUGUACUGCAUUUUGCACAAUUCUCAGAUGUGCAAUCAUGUAGAUGGGAUCCUUGUGGAAGUGAAAAGCCUUUUUAUAGUCUUUAGUUAUCUAAGCUUACUCUGUUUUAUAUAAAAACAAUGUAUUUUUGCAUGAUGUUAAAAUUCAUUUAAUGCAACUGCUAUAUAAAUUAAGGAAAGAUUGUGUUUUGUUUACUAAUCAAGAGUUAUUUGUUUCGGAAAAUUGCAUCACCGAUGGUAAUUUUGAGUGCUUAUAAAAGAUUGGUCUACGGUCAUUCUAUGUUUCAGUGCAAGUAUACAAGCACUUCAAGUCUUCUAGUAUAGCUGUUCCUGAGCAUUUAUAUGUUGAAUUACAUAGCCCUGAUUAUAAAGUACCUACCUUCAUUUCUCAUUAUAUUAUGAUUAGGUAUUAUAUUGAAUUUGUUGAAUAUACACAUGUUGGCAGAUUAUCAUCUCUGGGAAUUUCAGUUCAGGAUUACAGAAAAGGGGUAAAAAUAUUUUUAAGAGUGGUUUGAUUAACAAAUGGUCCUGGGCCAACUGGAUAUACAAAUGCAAAAGAGCGAAUUUGGAUCCCUACCUCACACUAUAUACAAAAAAGAACUCAGAAUGGAUCAACACCUAAAUCUACAAGCUAAAACUAUAAAAAUCCUAAAACCAGCACUUGUUACUUUCUUUUUUCUUUGAUAGUAGCUUUCUUUCCGUUUAUUAAUGUUUUAUUUCUUUCAGCAAAUUUUGUAGUUUUCAUUGUACAAGUCUUUCACUUCCUUGGUGAAGUUAGUUCUUAAGUAUUUCCUCAUGGGUGUAAGGUGGUAUCUCAUAAUAGUUUUGAUUUGCAUUUCCCUAAUGAUUAGUGAUACUGAGCAUCUUUUCAUAUGCUUAUUGGCCAUUUGUAUAUCUUCUUUGGAGAAAUGUCUAUUGAAGUUCUUUGCUCAUUUUUGUAUUGGGUUAGUUUUUCUAUUGUUGAGUUGCAGUAGUUCUCGCUACAUAGUCUGGAUUUUAAUCCCUUAUCUGACAUACUUGUAAAUAUUUUCUCCUUUGUUGUAAGUUGCCUUUUUACUUUUUUUUAUUUUUAUU
rnacentral:lncRNA from 10 species